AAAUAGAAUAAACUAGGGAUACAUUAGCGUAAGACUCAAUUUUGAGAAGGAAGUUUGUACUUGCAGCCUAAAAAAUCAUGUCUUUGUUGUAUACUUGUAUGUUUCUUUGGGAAAUGAAAGAUUCUGUGUUCUUUUAUUUCAAGUUUGCUGAAAUCACAUUUGUUUUCUUAGAUGCUUUCCAGAAGGUAACAGCAUCAAUUUCAAAAAUGCUGGGGUAAGAUGCAUCACGCAGUGCUACUCAACAUGAGAAAUCCUGGCUGCAUUAACUGUAUGUUGAGUGAUCGCACAGUACAACCUUGAGAAGCUUGUAAGGAGUAGACAACUAGAUGCGAGUAGUUUCAAUAUGGAUUCGCAUCAAAUGAUUUCUUGCCACUGAUUACUAUAACCUCUAUCCCAAAAUUCUGGGAACUGGUCAUACCAGCUAUGAAGUAUUGUAUACGUUGAAGAGCUCAAGGCCUUGCAAAAGCUCCGUCAGCCUUUGUAUUGGCAAACAGAUGGUUGUAGUUGCUUCUGAAUGAUAUGAUUAAUAGAUUCUGUAAAAAUGAAUUGUGCUAUACGCUUUCAGAGUUCUGUUAAGAUGUCUUGGUAGUUUUUGAUGCUUGUUUGAUUUAUAUUGCAUUCAGCUAUAAAUCAAAGGUUCAGAACACGAGUAUGUUACUGAUUUCCAAAUAGAAAAAUUGCCUUGUGAUGUUAGUGUCCAUUGUUUUCACAGGAGAUCAGGUUCCUUGUUAUUGAAUCAAGAAGGCAAACGCAUCCAUGUCUGAGUUCAAUUGUGUCCCUUCUAUUUUCUAUUACUGACUCAUUUAUUUUGAUUUCUUCAUUGUGAUUGAAUUGGUUUUUUAUUCCAAAUUAGUCAAAACCUCAUAGAGUUAUUAAGUUCCGUUAGCAUUCAGAACUACGUACCAAAUGAUUAACAGGAUUAAAUUACAAUAAAGAAUUAAGUUCUUUAUUGUAAUUGAAUUUGCUUUCUCAUGUUUAGAGAUAUUAUGUUCUGGUUAGGGGUGAUUUCUUGAAGAGUCAAUCCAUUUGUGUUUAUACAUUUUUCUAUUGCCUUGAUUUCUGUUUUCUGGGGAGUUUAUACAGAUUCUUAUUUUAUGCUUCACAUGCCACAUGAAAGAUCAAAGCCUUCUGUCUGAACAUAAUAUACGUAGGAAGUUAAAUUUAUUUAUUUAUAAGCAUGUCCCAGUGCCCAGUGGCAUCCUCUUAACUUGUGAUAGUCAAAUGUAUUAUACGAUACAAUAUCAGCUUGACUGUAGCAUAGAGGAGAAUAGGGUUGGUGUUGGACUGAAUUCUGAUCCUUGAAUAAAUAUAACAGCUGCCUGAACCAGCUUAUUUGACUCCACAACUUUAUACUUGUUUUAUAGUCUAUGCCUACCUCCAUCGUCGGCAGCUUACACAGUCUCUUUUAGCAUUUUAAAAAGUUUCAUGAUAUUCCAUAGUUCGCAUGGACUGCUACAAUUUAUAGAAACAUAAUUACGGCAUAUUUAAUUACCACGCGAGGAGUCUUCUUUUUUGCGCACCAAUAAUUCUUUGUACUUAAUUAGAAGAUGAGAAAUCCUUUAGCCGAACCACGAACUCACCUAUUAGUGGGGUUUUUUCCGCUUGCAUUCAGUCGCUCAAGUGAAAAUUGCGUGCAAUUUUUUCCUCAACUAAAAUUGGAAUAGAUAUUUUGUUAUUGCUGGCACAAAUUUUCCUUUAAGUCAAAUUGGAAUAGAUGUUUGUGAGAUGCCUAGACCUGAGAUUUUGUUAUGAUUAUAUGCAUUAAAGCUUUCGGUAGACCCUUGAAAUCUUAUGAUCAAUGUAUUAGAAAUUUAGAAUUGGGGUUUAUAAGAGCUAGUUUGAACAUGUUAUAACUUUUAAAAUUAUUGUUGCUAAUUGUGUUAUAGAAAUAAUUAAUCAGUUGUAAAAAUAAUUAGUUAAACAUUUGGUAAAUUUUAUUUUUAAAAGUGUUAGGAGUUUUAAAAGCAGACGUACGUACUUAGUAAAUCUCACUUUUAAAAUAUUAUAAGAAUGCAAAAGGUUUAAAUAUAUAUAAAUCUAUACAAUUUAUUUACACAUGCAUUUAUAGAUACAUGUAUAUAUAAUAAUUGAUAACUAAAAUAAAGAUUUUUAUUUUAUUAAUUUUUUUUGUUAUCUAAAAAAAGGUAAUAAUAAUAUCUUUAAUGAUGUAUUUAUUAAUCAGUAAUCGGAAUGGACUGGAAUCAAAAUGGAGGAAUGGAAAUCGGAAUAAAUUGUUUACUUUAACUAUCAAUAUUGGAAUCGCAAUGAACUGUAUUAUCACUUAUAUAUUUAUUUUAUCUGAGAAUCAGAAUGGAUUGAUUUAAAUUACUAGACAGACCUUAUUAUUAUUAUUAUUAUUAUUAUUAUUAUUAUUAUUAAAUAAGGUAAAAAGGAAUUUUCAAUUUUUACUGAAGUAAAAAUAUCAAUUCACUUCUCAUUUUCAGCCCUAGGGAAUGAGACUCCCAUUCCACAUUCUAGAAUUUAUAGAGUCCACUCAAAUUUUCAUUCCCAUUCCCCCUCCUUGUUUUGGAAGUAAACAAGUUAAUAAUCCUAUUCUCUCAUUUCUACUCCCAUUCUCAUUCUCAAGUACUAACACAUCAAGGUAUUCGGUUCGGUUUUUGCCCAAUAGAACUGAAAUUAUUCGGUUUGGUUUGAUUUGGUUUAAUAUAAAAAGCCAAAGGGUUUAUAUUUUUAUGAACCAAAUGGUUUGUAUUCGAUUCAAUUCUAAAACUGAACCGAAAGCACAAACCAAUCGGUUCACGUAAUUUUAAUUAUUUUUAGAAAAAGAAAAACCAAAACUAAAUCGUAGAAUGUGAAUCCCUAAAAUCUAAAUCCCUAAUUCUCCUAACUAACUAAAACUAAUCACAGAACAACACAACCACAACAACCUAGCAAGCGCAGCGGUAGCCCCUCGAACCACGCUCACUCUCAAGUAUAGCAUGACAAUAGGGCUCUCUCAUGCAAUGAUAGGUAAUUUCUUAGUUUAGAAGGGAAAGUAAGAGAAACAGAGGAAGAAUAUAAGUUGAUUAAAAGGGAAAAGUCAAUUCUUAUUCCAAAAACUUGCUUAGUGCAAGUUCAAUAGGGUCUCUUAAAUAGACCUAUACAUAUAAUAAAAACUAGAAAAGACGAAAAUCACUUGAAAAUAAAAAGCAUGAUCACUUAAAUGGUAAACAUACAUAACCGCCAUGAGCUACAUGCAACCUAAGUCAAAUAAUCAACUGAAGAAACUUGAUCCCCAUGCAUAUUGAGCACAUACCAUUCCCCACCCUUUAGAAACACCUUGUUGGUGCGGUUAAGGUGAGGGUGAGCCUUUGAGAAUCACCAACGGUUCCAACGAGUGUCCUCAAUUGCUGCUCCUAUCCCUUUAACCAGUAUUGAGUUGUACGAAUGGCACAUGAUCUUCAAUCAUGAAUAGUUGCAGCUUUUAACAACAGUGUGAUACAAACUAAUAAAAAUAAUAAAAAUUAUUUAUUUUAUUUUAUUCUGGGGUAAGAUGCAUCACGCAGUGCUACUCAACAUGAGAAAUCCUGGCUGCAUUAACUGUAUGUUGAGUGAUCGCACAGUACAACCUUGAGAAGCUUGUAAGGAGUAGACAACUAGAUGCGAGUAGUUUCAAUAUGGAUUCGCAUCAAAUGAUUUCUUGCCACUGAUUACUAUAACCUCUAUCCCAAAAUUCUGGGAACUGGUCAUACCAGCUAUGAAGUAUUGUAUACGUUGAAGAGCUCAAGGCCUUGCAAAAGCUCCGUCAGCCUUUGUAUUGGCAAACAGAUGGUUGUAGUUGCUUCUGAAUGAUAUGAUUAAUAGAUUCUGUAAAAAUGAAUUGUGCUAUACGCUUUCAGAGUUCUGUUAAGAUGUCUUGGUAGUUUUUGAUGCUUGUUUGAUUUAUAUUGCAUUCAGCUAUAAAUCAAAGGUUCAGAACACGAGUAUGUUACUGAUUUCCAAAUAGAAAAAUUGCCUUGUGAUGUUAGUGUCCAUUGUUUUCACAGGAGAUCAGGUUCCUUGUUAUUGAAUCAAGAAGGCAAACGCAUCCAUGUCUGAG
rnacentral:lncRNA from 1 species